GAUCAUGGCUCAGGAUGAACGCUAGCUACAGGCUUAACACAUGCAAGUCGAGGGGAAACGAUAUUGGAAGCUUGCUUCCGAUAGGCGUCGACCGGCGCACGGGUGAGUAACGCGUAUCCAACCUGCCCGUCACUUGGGAAUAACCUUGCGAAAGUAAGACUAAUGCCCAAUGACAUUUAUAGAAGGCAUCGGAAAUGAAUUAAAGAUUUAUCGGUGAUGGAUGGGGAUGCGUCUGAUUAGCUUGUUGGCGGGGUAACGGCCCACCAAGGCGACGAUCAGUAGGGGUUCUGAGAGGAAGGUCCCCCACAUUGGAACUGAGACACGGUCCAAACUCCUACGGGAGGCAGCAGUGAGGAAUAUUGGUCAAUGGGCGAGAGCCUGAACCAGCCAAGUAGCGUGCAGGAUGACGGCCCUAUGGGUUGUAAACUGCUUUUAUAGGGGAAUAAAGUGAGCCACGUGUGGCUUUUUGCAUGUACCCUAUGAAUAAGGACCGGCUAAUUCCGUG
rnacentral:rRNA from 1 species